rnacentral:lncRNA from 12 species
CUGAGAGGUUAAGUAUAUUACCCAAGGUCAUCCUAGUUAGUAACAGAGUAAGGCCUGCACUUCUGCAGAGCUCAAAGGUACAACCACUGAAGUCCUACUUGCUUUCAUCUUCUCUCUUCAGAGAGAACGUGUGCUCUUUCCUGCAAGCUCUUCUCCUGCUCACUCUCUCAAUAAUGGGCAUUAUGAUCUCAGAGCCAUUCUCCACAACAAGAAACUUUUCCUCACACUGCACUACUUACUAUACUUAUUAUCGUGUGGCAUUAGUUGUGCAGUUUGGGCUCCAUUGAAGGAAUAUUAUUUUCAAAUUGAAAAGGAUAAAAUGCACGUGAAAAGAUGCAAUCAAGUCCAAAUGCAGUUUAGGAGACUUUGUGAAGACUGUACCUGA